rnacentral:rRNA from 1 species
UACAGAGGGUGCAAGCGUUGUUCGGAAUCAUUGGGCGUAAAGCGCGUGUAGGCGGUCCGGUAAGUCCGCUGUGAAAGUCGGGGGCUCAACCCUCGAAUGCCGGUGGAUACUGUCGGGCUAGAGUGCGGAAGAGGCGAGUGGAAUUCCUGGUGUAGCGGUGAAAUGCGCAGAGAUCGGGAGGAACACCCGUAGCGAAGGCGGCACUCUGGGCCGGUACUGACGCUGAGGAGCGAAAGCGUGGGGAGCGAACAGG